GACGAACGCUGGCGGCGCUCUUAACACAUGCAAGUCGAGAGAAGCGGAGGACGGGGGAGUAACACGUGAGUAACCUGACUUAGACAUUGAGAUAGCCGCGGUAAACCGGGAUUAAUACCAAAUGGCCUAAAAUGGAAUCGCGUCCCAGUAGAUAGUAGGUGAGGUAACGGCCCACCAAGGCGACGAGGGUUAGCCGGCCGGAGAGGGUGAACGGCCACAUUGGAACUGAGAAACGUUCCAAACUCUACGGGAGGCAGCAGUGGGGAAUAUUGCACAAUGGAGGGAACUCUGAUGCAGCUACGCCGCGUGAACGCAGAAGUCUUUCGAGUCGUAAAGUUCUUUUAUAUGGGAAGCGGUACCAUAAGAAAAAGCCCCGGCUAACUACGUGCCAGCAGCCGCGGUAAUAC
rnacentral:rRNA from 1 species